GGAGGGUUGAGCCGCUUCACUCCGUGUGAGGUGUGCUCGUCAGUCGGUGGUUCGUUCCCGCCUUCAUGGCCGAUCUUAGCUACGGCCGCCCCCCGCCCGACGUGGAAGGGAUGACUUCGCUGAAGGUGGACAACCUGACGUACCGCACGUCCCCGGAGACCCUGCGCCGCGUCUUCGAGAAGUACGGCCGGGUGGGCGACGUGUACAUCCCGCGGGACCGUUACACCAAGGAGAGCCGCGGUUUCGCCUUUGUCCGCUUCCACGACAAGCGCGACGCCGAGGACGCAAUGGACGCCAUGGACGGGGCCGUGCUGGACGGGCGGGAGCUGCGGGUGCAGAUGGCCAGGUACGGCCGACCCCCAGACUCCCACCACAGCCGGAGAGGACCCCCGCCCCGGAGAUACGGAGACUACGGCGGCCGCCGCAGCAGGAGCCCGAGAAGACGACGUCGCAGUCGGUCCAGAAGCAAGAGCAGAUCGAGGUCCCGUAGCCGAUCCCGUUACAGCCGCUCUAAGUCCCGAUCUCGCAGCAGGACCCGUUCCCGCUCCAGUUCCAAAUCUCGUUCGGCCCGGAGGUCAAAAUCCAAGUCCAAGUCUUCGUCUGUUUCCAGAUCACGGUCUCGCUCCAGGUCCCGAUCUAGGUCCAAGAACUCGCCCCCACCAAAGGAGUCCAAGUCCAAAUCAAAGUCCAGAUCCAGAUCGCCGACUCCACCCCCCAAGUCUCCAGAAGAAGUGGGAUCGUCUUAGAGCUGAGCUGCGGGCUCCAGUUGCUUAAGGAGUAGUGAGCUGUAUUGCAGAUAUUAAGUGCUUAUUCCUGAUCCUCCAGAGAGCAGUUUCUGUGGGCGUGUAAUGGAGCAGAGUCGUAUUAAAGGGAUCGCACCCCCCCUGCUGGACGUGUCCGGGAUGACGACUGUGCAGUAAAUGUACAGCCCUAUGGAAUUGUUCAUGAAGCAAGAAAAAAAAAAACAGCCUUCCGAAAAGGUGGUUAUCUGUAUGAUUUUGGGUUUUCUCUUUUCUAUAAGUUUUACCAGUUUUAAGUUGCACCAUGUUUGGCAGACUCUCUCUAUUUUUUACGUGCCAUUUUGUUGCUAUUCCAAUUUCUUGUAAUUUAGUGAACGACAAAAGAUUUCAUUGUUGGCUUUGGAUGUUUGAGGUAAAACAAUGUUUGGCUUGUUCAAUAAAGUCUCUGGGCCUGUCCCACCCCCCCCCCCCCCCUGUGGGCCAUUAGGUCGAUUUAAUGUUUCUCUACUCGUCAAUGCCCCUGCUCAGACAUUAACCAUCUAUUGACCGUGAAUAAUGUCAUGUACGUAACUAUGUUUUAAUGGGAGGUACUGAAAAUGCAAAAUGUAUUUUGUACAAAAUGUUAAUGUAUCAAGUGUUUUUUUUGUUUUGCAAGGGGCUGUUUUAAUUUGCCGACAACUCUAAUCUUUUCUCUUGUGUAUUUUUGUGCACUAGGCGCAGUUGUGUAGCAGUUGUAAUGCUGGUUAGCUGUUAAGGUGGCGUGUUGCAGUGCAGAGUGCUUGGCUGUUUCCUGUUUUCUCCUGAUUGCUCCUGUGUAACGCAGAAUCACACACAAAUGGCUGUCCAGUUUGUUAGAAUUCCUGACAACUGCACGUCCAGUCGCACCGGGCCCUUGCGUAAAAUAGCGGAGCAUACAGUGAGCACAUCUAACUGAUGAUAAACACCCUAUAGAACAUGGUAAAUCUGUCAUGCAGGUGUCAUUCCUUUUUUUUUUGUAUGUACUAACAUUCUGUACUAUAACCACUGUUUAUGUAGUUAAUAAACAUUUUCUUUAUAAAAGUCCA